UUUUCCUUCAGUUUCCUAUAUGAGUUAUUUAAGGAUUUAGAUGGUUUUAUGAGCCACUUAGUAUUUACAACCCUUCUUAAUUGUACCCUCUUCCUCACAGGGGAACAUUUGCCUAAAUCUUUGGAAGGAUUUUUUAUCUAUGAAGAAGAAGGUUCUGGAGUUCCAGGUUCUAGUAGGAAAGGAAAUGAUGCCAUCGUAGUAGAACAAUGGACUGUUAUUGAGGGAUGUGAAAUCAAAACAGAUUAUGGCCCUCUGCUGCACACUCUGGCUGAAUUCGGAUGGCUUCUGACAAGUGUGUUGCCCACACCUGUAUUGAGACAUGACAGUGAAGGGAAUUUGGCUACAAAGCAGAUCGUAUUCCUUCAGAGGCCAGUUAUGUGGAAUUCAGCUGCUCAAACACCAGAUAAGAAAGCCAGCCGCCACAUAAAAGGUGAAGACAAGAAUAAAGCCACUAGUAGAAGCAUCGGAUUAGACACAACCUCGUCACAACCUGCAGAGAGCAGACACCCGCCUGAGGAGUGCCGCCUUUCUCCCUCCCGGGAAUGCUGGACAAAGGAGGGAAGGCUGGCACAGCACAACAGCUUCUCUGGGUUCAGCAGCAGUGACAGCGUCCUCCGGGAAUUAGACGACGGACAGUUUGAUCAGGAAGAUGGAGUGACUCAGGUCACUUGUAUGUGAGCCGUGAGGUGAAGCAAAGGAAGGCCCUGUAAAUAAUUGUUAAAAUCAUUGCCAACUGACCUUAUUGUAUUGCUUUCUCUGCAUUUAUGUAAUAUUUUUGAAUUUUUCCAGACCCAGCCUUUCCUUUAAUCUAUGUGAACUUUGGCACAACCUCCCAGACAAGGAAGAAUAACCAACAUAUUUAUACAUUUAGAAUCAUGUUUACACUUCUCUCAACUAAAACAUCUGGUUAAACAGAUGUUCCAUUCAGUUAUUACACAAUAAUCUAUUUCA
rnacentral:sRNA from 1 species